GUUAAUUACUAAAUGGGAACAAUUUACAAAAAAAAUUGUAAAUGAUUGAAACAAAUGCCAAGCUUCAAAUUCCUCUUUCCUUAUCUGCUUGAUUUCCUGUUGUUGGAGGGAACUUAACCUUGAGUAUUGAAAUAUUGAAGCAAAACUCCCAAGGCAGGAGUGACAACACAAACUUCAAACAAAAAAUUUGUACUUGAUAUCUCUUAAGCCCAUUCCUGUUUGUGAUAUAAUUGAGGUCAAUAUAACCUUUCUUCUUUCUCCAGUCAAUUGGAUUUUUCCCCCUCAUUAAUGACAUGCUGUAUUGGGUCUUGUAGUUAAUUCAGUAUUGGGUCUUGUAGUUAAUUCACAUGUAGAAUCCGGACUUUUUGCUUUCUUAAGUAGUUCUUUUAGCAGAUCAGCUCAGACCUUUUUUCAUUCAGCAUUUAGUUUAGGAUUUUCUAGUUGUAGCAUCCACUUUCUUUCUGCAAUUCUUGCUGCUGUGCUUGAUGUUCUUCUACUUCUAUAACUGGAUGUUAGGAGCUGCUGAUAGCAGGUUUUGCAUGUCUUCCUUCUUUGACUUCUUGAUUGUUGCUUGUAUUUGCAAAUGAGACCUUAGUUGCUGUUCUGCCUUUCUGAC
rnacentral:misc_RNA from 1 species